rnacentral:rRNA from 1 species
UACGUAGGGUGCAAGCGUUGUCCGGAAUUAUUGGGCGUAAAGAGCUCGUAGGCGGUUUGUCGCGUCUGCUGUGAAAACUCGGGGCUUAACUCCGGGCCUGCAGUGGGUACGGGCAGACUAGAGUGCGGUAGGGGUGACUGGAAUUCCUGGUGUAGCGGUGAAAUGCGCAGAUAUCAGGAGGAGCACCGGUGGCGAAGGCGGGUCUCUGGGCCGUAACUGACGCUGAGGAGCGAAAGCGUGGGGAGCGAACAGG